CAAGUUGAACGGUUGAGCGGGUAGCAAUAUUCUGUGUCAGCAGUGGCGUAAGGGUGCUUAACACGUGGGUAAUCUGCCGCGAAGUGUGGGAUAACUCGCUGAAAGGCGAGCUAAUACCGCAUGUGAUUUUCCUGAGGCAUCUCAGGGAAUUCAAACAUGGGUCGCAAGGCCUGUGGUUUCGCGAUGAGCCCGCGGCCUAUCAGCUAGUUGGCGGGGUAAAAGCCCACCAAGGCUAAGACGGGUAGCUGGUCUGAGAGGACGACCAGCCACACUGGAACUGAGACACGGUCCAGACACCUACGGGUGGCAGCAGUCGAGAAUUUUUCACAAUGGGGGAAACCCUGAUGGAGCGACGCCGCGUGGGGGAUGAAGGGCUUCGGCUCGUAAACCCCUGUCAUUGGCGAACAAGUGUUGCAUCCUAAUACGGUGCAACUUGAUAGUAGCCGAAGAGGAAGGGACGGCUAACUCUGUGCCAGCAGCCGCGGUAAUACAGAGGUCCCGAGCGUUGUUCGGAUUCACUGGGCGUAAAGGGUGCGUAGGUGGUUGGUUAAGUUUGAGGUGAAAGCUCCGAGCUCAACUCGGAAAAUGCCUUGAAGACUAUCUGACUAGAGGGUUGGAGGGGAGACUGGAAUUCUCGGUGUAGCAGUGAAAUGCGUAGAUAUCGAGAGGAACACCAGUGGCGAAGGCGAGUCUCUGGACAACACCUGACACUGAGGCACGAAAGCCAAGGGAGCAAACGGGAUUAGAUACCCCGGUAGUCUUGGCUGUAAACGGUGCGCACUUGCUGUGAGCGGAUUCGACCCCGCUCGUGGCGUAGUUAACACGAUAAGUGCGCCGCCUGGGGAAGUACGGUCGCAAGAUUAAAACUCAAGAAAUUGACGG
rnacentral:rRNA from 1 species